UAUCAUCACAUGACCUUCAUCACCAUGAUCAGCAUCAGCAUCACCCACCACCGUGAGCAGCAGCAUCAUUAUCAUCACAAGACCUUCAUCACCAUGGUCAGCAUCAGCAUCAGCACCACUGCGAGCAGCAGCAUCACCACCAUGAUCACUAGCAUCACUAGCAUCAUCAUGUCCAUGUUCAUCAUCAUGUUCUUCACCAUCACUUUCUUAAUCUCCACCUCCUCUUCCUUGUCCUCCUCCUCCUUGUUCCUCAUGACCAUCUUCAUCAUCAACACCCCCAAUAUCACCUGAAGGUCAGCCUCACAAGUCCAAUUUCCUUAUGAGCUUCUUUGCUGCAAUGUCCACAAAAGAGGCUCAAGGACAUUUCCUAAAUUCUAGAGGGACUGGCUGGGUUGCAGCUUCAUGAGGUCCAAGAUCUAGCCACUUAGUAAGGUAGAGGCUCCGCAGUGAAGAUGCAGCAUGGUUCAGGACAGGGACCUAGCUCUCAGGAACUUGGUCCACUAGGCACCAAUGCAAAUUCUUUCACACACUAGCUGUAUGACUUUGGGCAAGUCAGAAACCUCUCUGAGCCUCAGUUCCCUUCUCUGCUAAAUGGGGAUAAAACAUCCACCCUCAUCUGCCAGGUUGUGGUGUGGACUCUAAGCAAAGUACAUUUAUUCACAGAUUAAAAAGUAUAUGUGCUCUUAUUAGUAGUACUACUAUUAUAGAAUAUAUCUACCAGCUCCCGGAGGAACCAAAAGUUCACCUUCCAGGGCACUGAGUCAAGUGAUGAUGAUGAUGACAACAACGACAAUACCAAUGAUAGUGAGGAUGAUGAUGAUGAGAAUUAUGAUGUUGAGGAUAUGAUGAGGAGGAGGAGGAUGGCAGUGAUGAUGAUGGGGAUGAUGAUGGUGAGGAUGAUGAUGGUGAGGAUGAUGAUGAUGGCAGUGAUGAUGAUGGGGGUGAUGAUGGUGAGGAUGAUGAUGAUGGCAGUGAUGAUGAUGGGGAUGAUGAUGGUGAGGAUGAUGAUGGGGAUGAUGAUGAUGGGGAUGAUGAUGAUGGUGAGGAUGAUGAUGAUGGUGAGGAUGAUGAUGAUGGUGAGGAUGAUGAUGAUGGUGAGGAUGAUGAUGGGGAUGAUGAUGAUGGUGAGGAUGAUGAUGCUAGUGAUGAUGGUGAUGGUGAGGAUGAUGAUGAUGGUGAGGAUAAUGAUGCUAGUGAUGAUGAUGAUAGUGAGGAUGAUGAUGAUAGUGAUGAUGAUGGUGAGGAUGACGAUGCUAGUGAUGAUGAUGAUGGGGAUGAUGAUGAUGAUGGUGAGGAUGAUGAUGAUGAUAGUGAGGAUGAUGAUGGUGAGGAUAAUGAUGGGGAUGAUGAUGAUGGUGAGGAUGAUGAUGAUGGGGAUGAUGAUGAUGGUAAGGAUGAUGAUGAUGGUGAGGAUAAUGAUGAUGGUGAGGAUGAUGAUGGUGAGGAUGAUGAUGGUGAAGAUGAUGAUGAUGGUGAGGAUGAUGAUGCUAGUGAUGAUGAUGAUGGUGAGGAUGAUGAUGAUGGUGAGGAUGAUGAUAGUGGUGAGGAUGAUGAUGAUGGUGAGGAUAAUGAUGGGGAUGAUGAUGAUGGUGAGGAUGAUGAUGAUGGGGAUGAUGAUGAUGGUAAGGAUGAUGAUGAUGGUGAGGAUAAUGAUGAUGGUGAGGAUGAUGAUGGUGAGGAUGAUGAUGGUGAAGAUGAUGAUGAUGGUGAGGAUGAUGAUGCUAGUGAUGAUGGUGAUGGUGAGGAUGAUGAUGAUGGUGAGGAUGAUGUUGAGGAUAUGAUGAUGAGGAGGAGGAUGGCAGUGAUGAUGAUGGUGAGGAUGAUGAUGCUAGUGAUGAUGGUGAGGAUAAUGAUGGCAGGGAUGAUGGUGGCAGUGAUGGUGGGGAUGAUAGUGAUAGGAAGUGUGCAGGUGUUCCUGGAAAGUUCUGAUCUGAUCACUUCAGUCUCUCUGCCUCUCCUUCCUGAAUCAUCUCACCCACUCUCCUGCCCUCUCCUCUAGGUGGAUAACACUUGACCCUAUGCCUCUAGCUUCGAAUGUUCACACUCAUCAAAGUCCUUAGAUGUGGACUGUGUAAAAACAGACUUCUUUAACCUACACAGUGGAGAAUCACUCCUGCCUGCAUUUGUUUCAGCAGUGGCUUUAGGAUCGGAGCAUGAUAAAGCCAUUUAAACAGCUGAAAGAGCACGAGAGCACAGAAGAGGCAGAUCUUCAUGCAGCUGCCGGGCUGAGUCAGAGCCGGCUGGUGCGUGCUCCUGCCCACCCACUCGGCUGCCUCGGUCUGUGGGGCUCUAACUUGACUCUUUGACCAUUCAUUUGACUUCACUCUAUUCCACAUCUCUGACCCAUCCAGAGAGGGCAGACAGUGAGACACCUUGUAGGCUCAUCCUGGCCUAGGUUCAUGCCCAGCUGAAAACCUGUCUUUAAUGGGCUCCCCCGUGAGAUCUGGUUCUAAGGGUCCUACUUCUGUUUGCUUCUCCAUCCUCAGAGCCAACACUUUGCUUAUUUAAGUGAGGAGUUGGGCCUCAACCACGAUCCUCUGGGGACAAUAUCUCUGACGGUCCAAAGUGUUGACGGGUGGUCUUUUUCAAGGACACCCGCUGCCUGCCCAGGGUCUGUUCGUUUAGAGCUCACAUCCUCAUUUGAGCCCUGAAUUCUAGAAUGCUGUUUAAAAAAUAAUUUUUUUUCUGUGUCUGGGCUGCACCUGCUGUAUAUGGAAGUUCUCUUGCUAGGGGUCAAAUCGGAGCUGCAGCUGCCAUCCUACACCGCAGUCACAGCAAUACAGGGUCUAAACUGCAUCUGCAACCGACGCUGCAGCCCACGGCAACACCAGAUCUUUAACCCACUGAGUGAGGCCAGGGUUCGAAUCAACAUCUUCAUGGAUCCUAGUUGGUUUUUUGAUCCCUGAGCCACGACAGGAACUCCUAAAAUGCUCUUUAAAAUAGAAGGUACAUUUUACUACAAUUCUCAAAUGAUUAGAAAACACCCACAUAAGCACACACACAAACACACCCGCACACACAAAUAGGCAUGAACUCCCUUCUAAGAAGCCAACAAAGAACUUUACACCUCAGCUCUUCCCACAUCUGGGAGUUUCUCUGUGCCUCUGUUUCCCCAGAGAAAGUACUACGUGUGUUCUGCCUGAUUAGAACUAUCCAAAGAGAGAAGGGGCUGCCUCCGGAAGUGAUAAGCUCCCCAUCCCUUGGGGGGUGGACCAGAGGGCCCACAGCACAUGGUGGGUGGGCGGGGGAGGGAACAGGUAAUUAAAUACCUGAGAGUCCUUCACUAUCCCCCACCCUGGACCUGAGGCUCUAGGGUUUUGAGGAGUUCAGGCAAAGUGAGUUUAUUGCAGGAAUUGUGACUUCAUCUUCUGGGUGAGAAGGGAUGUGGGGGAAAGAAAAGGUUUGGAGUUCUGGGUUCUAACCUGGUCCUGUCACUUCCUAGCUGUGUGACCUAGGGCAGGUCACUCAGCCUCUCUGAGCUUCAGUGCUUUCGUCUGUUGGGGAAAAGGGAGACUGACAGUUGCCUUCCAGAGUCCUAAGGAUAAAUGGUGCAGGCUACGCUCAACAUGCACAGCUGGUGCUCGGCAAAUACUCAUUCCUUUCCUCCUCCAGCUGAUGGGUACCAGGGCAGAUGGGUAGCUCCUCCCAGUCCCUCGAGCUUCCCCCUGCAUCCAGAUGCCAGGGAUCAGAUACCAUCAACCUCCUCAGCCCCAUCACAGAGGAAAACCCGUGCUCCCUAAAUGCCAUCUCUUGGCCCCUUAAAGGCCCUGCCACGCUCCUGCCACAGGGCCUUUGCACAGGAUAUCUUGUCUGCUAGAAGACCCAUCUUUCUUCAGCACAUCUGGUUCGAUCCUACUGAUCACUCUAAUCUCAGAUUAUAAGUCACUUCCUCAGGGGGCCCUUCCCUGUCUCUAGACCAAAAAAGCUGUAUGACACAUUCUCAGUAACCCAAUACCUUUCCUUUGGGUUACUGAUUUUCUUCUUCUUUUUUUUUUUUUUUUUGGCUGCCCCAGGAUGGUUUAUGGAAUUCUGAGGCCUGAGAUCAAAUCCAGGCUGCACCUGCAAGCUACACUGAGGCUGGGGCCUCACAGGAUCCUUUAACCUACCAGGCUGGGCUGGGGCUCAAACCUGCAUCCUGGGUACUGCAGGGAUGCCACAGAUCCUGUUGCACCACAGUGGGAACUCCGGGUUACUGACUAAAGUCUGUGUUCCCCUGGCCUCCUUGGAGGCAGGGUCCACAUUGGUUUGGUUCAUUGCUGUAUCCCAGCAAUGCUCAAGAAAUAUUUGUUGAAAGGAUAAAAUUAUGAAUAAAAGGCCCAUUUCGCUUCCUGGG
ensembl:lncRNA